AUGGACGCCGCCGCGCCUUCUUCCCCUCCUCGCCAUCGCCGCCCUGGCGAGCGCCGCCCCAACGCCCCUCCUGCGAUGCCCGCCACCGCAGCCUCCUUCCACGCACCCUCGUCCCGUCCCCUCGGCCUCCUCCUCGUCGCCUGCAUCCGCCGCCAGCCACCGCAGAACCAGGCCGCUGCCGCGCCAUCCCGCCUCCUCGUCCAACUCCGGUGGCUCCACACCUGCAUCUCCACCGGCGCCAUCAGUCCCCGUCGCCCGAGCGCUCGAGGAGAGGAGCUCCUCGAGCACCUGCGCCUGCAUCCAUCGUCCUCUGCGCCCAGCAGGAGCCCCGCGCCGCUCGUCCCCUCCGUUUGGCCGGAGUUCGUUGGAGCCCCAGCACCGGCCGCCUUGCACCCGCGAGGACCACCACCUCCAGCGCGCCUCUGCCUCCUCUGUGCUUGCCCCACUGCUGCCGUGUUGCUCCUCACCCGCACGCCCCUUGCCGCCUCCCCCGCUGGUGGCGACCACCAGGAGCUCCACCAGGAGCCCGGCAUACCCUGCCUCCUCGAUCGCUUCAAGUCCCCGUCGUCAAGCUCCAUGCCACUGCUCCUGCUUCCCUUCGAGCCCUCCUCUGUGUCGCUCGCUCAGGCUACCAGCAGCCUUAGCACGCCAAGACCCGUUCGUGGAUUUAUUCAAGUUCGAGCACCGCUAAACGAGGGUUUUUGCCUUGCUCAUUUUGGAUGCACCAAGUUCCUGUUCGAAAGUUCGUCUACAUGGACAAGUACCGUGGCACCGAAGACUUUUGUUGCGUCAAGUCCCUCUCAGACAAUUGUUGGACUACCAUCCGUGCACGCAUCCGCACGCCUCCUUUUGCACCAAGUACCACGACAUCAUCGGCCCUACAAGUUCAACUAUGGUUGCCGUGUACGACUACCGUCGACCCUCGAAGACCCCGUGGACCCCGAAUCAUCUACGGGACAUGAACAACUACUACCACUACCGUCGCCGUGA
rnacentral:rRNA from 1 species